rnacentral:rRNA from 1 species
GCUCAGAACGAACGCUGGCGGCAGGCUUAACACAUGCAAGUCGAGCGCCCCGCAAGGGGAGCGGCAGACGGGUGAGUAACGCGUGGGAACGUACCUUUUGCUACGGAAUAACUCAGGGAAACUUGUGCUAAUACCGUAUGUGCCCGAAAGGGGAAAGAUUUAUCGGCAAAGGAUCGGCCCGCGUUGGAUUAGCUAGUUGGUGAGGUAAAGGCUCACCAAGGCGACGAUCCAUAGCUGGUCUGAGAGGAUGAUCAGCCACACUGGGACUGAGACACGGCCCAGACUCCUACGGGAGGCAGCAGUGGGGAAUAUUGGACAAUGGGCGCAAGCCUGAUCCAGCCAUNCCGCGUGAGUGAUGAAGGCCCUAGGGUUGUAAAGCUCUUUCACC